UACGUAGGGUGCAAGCGUUGUCCGGAAUUAUUGGGCGUAAAGAGCUCGUAGGCGGUCUGUCGCGUCGGCUGUGAAAUCCCGAGGCUCAACCUCGGGUCUGCAGUCGAUACGGGCAAACUGGAGUGUUGCAGGGGAGACUGGAAUUCCUGGUGUAGCGGUGAAAUGCGCAGAUAUCAGGAGGAACACCGGUGGCGAAGGCGGCCUUCUGGACAGCAACUGACGCUGAGACACGAAAGCGUGGGUAGCAAACAGG
rnacentral:rRNA from 1 species